AACGAACGCUGGCGGCAUGCCUAACACAUGCAAGUCGAACGAGACCUUCGGGUCUAGUUGCGCACGUGUGCGUAACGCGUGGUAACCUGCCCUUAGGUUCGGAAUAACUCCCCGAAGGGUGUGCUAAUACCGGAUAAUGUCUUCGGACCAAAGAUUUAUCGCCUUUGGAUGGGCCCGCGUUGGUUUAGCUGGUUGGUAGGGUAAAAGCCUACCAAGGCGACGAUCCAUAGCUGGUCGGAGAGGAUGAUCCGCCACACUGGGACUGAGACACGGCCCAGACUGCUACGGGAGGCAGCAGUGGGGAAUAUUGGAGAAUGGGCGAAAGCCUGAUCCAGCAAUGCCGCGGGAGUGAUGAAGGCCUUAGGGUUGUAAAGCUCUUUUACCCGGGAUGAUAAUGACAGUACCGGGAGAAUAAGCUCCGGCUAACUCCGUG
rnacentral:rRNA from 1 species